GACGAACGCUGGCGGCGUGCCUAAUACAUGCAAGUCGAGCGAGCGGAACUAACAGAUUUACCUCGGUAAUGACGUUGGGAAAGCGAGCGGCGGAUGGGUGAGUAACACGUGGGGAACCUGCCCCAUAGUCUGGGAUACCACUUGGAAACAGGUGCUAAUACCGGAUAAGAAAGCAGAUCGCAUGAUCAGCUUUUAAAAGGCGGCGUAAGCUGUCGCUAUGGGAUGGCCCCGCGGUGCAUUAGCUAGUUGGUAAGGUAAAGGCUUACCAAGGCGAUGAUGCAUAGCCGAGUUGAGAGACUGAUCGGCCACAUUGGGACUGAGACACGGCCCAAACUCCUACGGGAGGCAGCAGUAGGGAAUCUUCCACAAUGGACGCAAGUCUGAUGGAGCAACGCCGCGUGAGUGAAGAAGGUUUUCGGAUCGUAAAGCUCUGUUGUUGGUGAAGAAGGAUAGAGGUAGUAACUGGCCUUUAUUUGACGGUAAUCAACCAGAAAGUCACGGCUAACUACGUG
rnacentral:rRNA from 1 species